UGGGGAAUAUUGCACAAUGGGCGAAAGCCUGAUGCAGCGACGCCGCGUGAGGGAUGACGGCCUUCGGGUUGUAAACCUCUUUCAGCUCCGAAGAAGCGAAAGUGACGGUAGGAGCAGAAGAAGCACCGGCUAACUACGUGCCAGCAGCCGCGGUAAUACGUAGGGUGCAAGCGUUGUCCGGAAUUAUUGGGCGUAAAGAGCUCGUAGGCGGUGUGUCGCGUCUGCUGUGAAAACUCAGGGCUCAACUCUGAGCUUGCAGUGGGUACGGGCACACUAGAGUGCUGUAGGGGAGACUGGAAUUCCUGGUGUAGCGGUGAAAUGCGCAGAUAUCAGGAGGAACACCGGUGGCGAAGGCGGGUCUCUGGGCAGUUACUGACGCUGAGGAGCGAAAGCAUGGGGAGCGAACAGG
rnacentral:rRNA from 1 species